AAGGUGGUUGAUUCUCCAGGAGGGAGUGGGAUGUGGAGAGAUGUGUUUAUAGCUCUGAAUGUCGUUCAGUUCUCAGUCAAGCAUCACGUGUAAUUGAAGAGAUUCCUUACGGAUUUUCUUGCGGUAGCCUACCUAUAAAGAGAAUUACCAAGUAGAAGAGAGACGCGCAUUCCGACCCUCUCAUCACUUUUGUCGUCUCACCUGCACAAGCAGUGAACAGGAGAGGUACCUUAUCAUGGAUCAGGAGAAAUGCUUACCGGAGCUGAUGGCCGAGAAAGAUACGCUGGACUCCUCAUUUGUUCAUGCAAUGCGUCUGCUUGCCGAAGAAAUUGAAAAGUAUGAGGGGGAUGAGUUGAGAAAAGACGGUGACGUCAAGAAAUACCUUGAUGUCAUCAGUAACAAAAACAUCAAGCUCUCGGAAAGAGUACUCAUCCCAGUUCAACAGUACCCAAAGUUUAAUUUUGUUGGGAAGCUGUUGGGUCCACGGGGCAAUUCCAUGAAAAGAUUACAAGAAGAAACAGGAGCAAAGAUGUCCAUCCUCGGAAAAGGCUCCAUGAGGGACAAAGGAAAGGAAGAAGAGUUGAGGAAAAGUGGAGAGGCCAAGUAUGCCCAUUUGAGUAACGAUCUCCACGUUUUAAUUGAAGCCUUCGCUCCUCCCGGAGAGGCCUAUUCCCGAAUGAGCCAUGCCUUGGAGGAGAUUAAGAAAUUCCUAGUUCCAGACUACAAUGAUGAGAUCAGACAGGAGCAGCUGAGGGAGCUCUCCUACUUGAACGGAGGAUCAGAAGACACCAGCAGAGGGAGGACUGUACGUGGGCGGGGCUUACGACUGGCUUCCACCACAAACACACGGGCACGGGGUGGUGUGGCCCUACCCCCUCCACCAGUCAGGGGGGCAGCUGUACCCAGGGGAACAGUGGGUAAGCGGAGUGUCCUGCCACAAGCCACAUUAACGAGAGGAGUACCUGCUCCCAGGGCCAGGGGAACACCAGGGAACACCGGGUACAGACCCCCACUGUUACCCAUCACACACGAAUCAUACGACGACUACGGCUAUGAUGAUGGAUAUGACGGUGAAUAUGAUGAUCAGAGUUAUGAUGCCUAUGAGGAGAACUACAGCAAUCAGUCAAAGAGCAUUUCUGAAUAUUACGAAUAUGGCCAUGGAACCAAUGACGAAGCCUACAACAACUACGAAGAGGAGUGGACUACAACCCGUCCAACACUCAAAGCCCCAACAGCAAGGCUCUCACGAGGGGGCUACAGAGAACAUCCCUAUGGUAGAUAUUGAAGGUGUAACAUAUUGUGUGAACUGUCCAAUAAGGGGAGUGUGAGAGUAUGGAAAACACAGUAAACUCUUCCCUGGGAACCGCAGAGUGCCUCCGCCUAUCUGAAGUGCUGGGCACAACCAGAAAUUAGCCUUGUGCAAAUGAGCAUGAUGUGCAAAUGGUUAUGUGGAUGUGUAGCAUCUUCCCUGUCCAUGUCAACAAGUCAACCUGGCCAGGUGAAUGCCUACACUUUAUCAUGCAUGUAUUUUAUCAUUGUGAUUAAGUUAGCCGUGUCAUACUAGUUUGUUGUGUUUCCAUACAACCUUCAUUUCCAUUGCAUUGCAUGCUUAUAAUGUAGUUUUGAUUGGUAGUUUUCAUUUUGUUAUUGCUGAAAAUUUGUGCUGAACUUAUACUCUUCCCUUGAAGCAAUAUAAGAGGUUUUCUCAGUUCACCGGGGGUUUUCUCAGUUCACCGGGGUUUUCCAGGUUCGCCGGGAUUUUCCAAGUUCGCCGGGGUUUUCCAGGUUCACCGGGGUUUUCCCAGUUGACUGGGGUUUUCCCAGUUCACCGGGGUUUUCACGGUUCACCUGGGUUUUCACGGUUGACCUGGGUUUUCCCAGUUCACCGGGGGUUUUCCAGUUCACCGGUGUUUUCCCAGUUUACCGGGGGUUUUCCAGUUCGCCCCCGGUUUUCUCGGUUCACCGGUGUUUUCCCAGUUCACCGGGGUUUUCCCAGUUCGCCAGGGUUUUUCCAGUUCGCCAGGGUUUCACUCGUUCACCAGGGUUUUACUAUAGGAAGUAUACUGUAGUUUCACCAGUAUCACCUCUCCUACCUUUUUCAUCCCAGAGAGCAGAUCAUUGCUAAAGCAUCCUGUCUAUAAUUUCAUUUUCUACACAAAAGCCCCCAAAAAUGUAUUACAGCAUGCAGAACUAAUAGAUGUUUACUCAACUGUAGCUCAAACUGAGAUAUUUCUUUCUAUUUCCCCUCACUACAGGCAGUGAAAUAUAUGUGCUGUUUCUGUAUUGUAUUUCCUCUGCUGCCAUUCUACUGUGUUGAACGAGGGGACAAACAGGACAAAUAAAUUCUACAUUUGCUUUCACUUAAAUGCUGACAUUGUAUGUAAUGAGGUUCGUAUGUGAUGAAGUUUGUAGGUAAACUAAAACUGUGCAGUUAAGUGUGCUGUGCCAUUUCAAGGCAGAUAUCAACACAAUAUGUCAAAAUGUAUAA